rnacentral:lncRNA from 1 species
AGCAAUUGGGUGCAGCCAAACAAGCUCUUCCUGCUUUGAGUUUCAGUUUUGUUUAAUUGCUUGUGAUUCUGGAACCUAAGAAAGCCAAUCAACUUUCUGUCUUCUGUCUGCUCCACAGCUCAGAAAAACGUCUACUCUAUUUGCCCUUUGUUUCAGUCUGCUCCAGGCUCAGCAGUGGUUGCAGGAAUAUGGAAGUGACAACCAGAUUGACAUGGAUACAGGAAAGGGUUCUGGGAAAACUACUUGGGAAUACAUCAUUGACUCUUCUUUAUAAGUCUGGAGCUCAUGAAUUACAUGCUCUUGAUAUGAUCCAGAGAUGUUCUCAUCAGGGUUCCACAAUGACAGUCUUUCACUUGAAGCAAGACGUUGUAGAAAUCAAUACUACAGAGCUGAAAUUUUUCUCAUCUGAUGAUAUGUGGAUCACUGUGAAUCCAAAGAAAAACAAACUUCAUCUAAGUGGCGAAGUCAUAAAAGAACUAGAACUUAAUCUUAAGUGUUUCUCUGAAUAUUUGGAAUGUGAAAUUUUUCGAGUUGAUGGUGUUAAGAAUGAUCCAGGCUUCAUAAAGAAGAUGCUGACCGCCAAACAGCACCGAAGAAGAUUCUUAUCUGCUCUCCGAGCCUACAGGCCCAGUGGAGACUUGGUUUCGGAAGUCCGUAUUCUCCUGGUGGGCCCCGUGGGUUCUGGGAAGUCCAGCUUUUUCAACUCAGUGAAGUCUGCUUUCUACGGCCACUUCACUCGCCAGGCAGUCAUGGGGUCUGAUGAAACCAGCAUUACUAAACAGUACAGAACAUAUUCUGUUAAAAAUGGAGAAGGAGGGAAAACACUUCCAUUUAUCUUGUGCGAUUCAAUGGGACUGGAUGAGAGGGAAGAAGCAGGACUAUGCCUAGAUGACAUACUUCAUAUAUUAAAAGGCUUUGUACCAGACAGGUAUCAGUUCGACCCAUGUAAGCCAAUUAAGCCCAGGCACUUGGCCUACAACACAUCUCCACCACUGAAGGACAGGAUCCACUGUGUGGCUUAUGUCUUAAACAUCAACUCUGUUAACUCACUGUCUGAUAAAAUGGUGGCAAAGCUCAAAAGAAUUCAGAGAGAUGUAACAGACUGUGGUAUAGGACAAGUAGUCUUGCUUACUAAUGUGGAUAACUGUGAUGAAGUUCUUGACGACAAUUUUACAAACAUGACAGAAAGUACGACUUCUCAAAGCCAGGUAAAGAAAGUCCAAAACAUGCUCACUAUUCCUGUAUCUAAUAUCCUGAUGGUCAGUAAUUACACUUCAGAGCAAUCAAUGCACCCUAUAAGGGAUAUUCUGAUCUUUGCUGCACUCAGGCAGAUGUUGCGGGCUGCAGAUGACUCCUUAGAAGACCUUCCUCUUGAGAACAGACAGGAUCAGCUAAUGGCUCCCUCAGCAGCCAGUCAUGCAUCAAAAAAAUGAAGAUGAAGCCUGAGAAGUGGAGAGGAAGGAAAUGACCUAACACAAAUCUGCUUCCAAACACUUGUACCCACUGCCGUUUCAUAUCUUGAUGCCUUUGCUUUUACUUAUCGAGCACAUUAUGCAAUUCUAUGCAUCCUAUCAAUCACACAAUGGUUACAAAAUUAUAUAGAUACCUGCUAUUCUAAAGAGAGUGUAAGUUCUUGGGGAAAAUAAGCUUUGGGUUUGCCUUUGUAGUCACAGAGCUCAGCCCAAGGUCUGGUAUGCAAUCAGAAUACUCAUAAUGGCUCUCCCGUACCACUUUCUCUAGAUAGAUGAUAUUUACUUUGGCAUCUACUCAUUAUGGAUGAAAAGACACAAAGAGUAAGAUGCUGGAAAGAGAAUGAGAAAAUAAGGACAGAGAGGGUCUUACUUAUCUUUGCUUGAAAACAUGAAUGCCUCUAAACAAACUUAAAUUAAUUAAAACGAGCCACUAUUUGUUAGCAACAUUGAUAACUACAUUAAAGUUUUAAUUUCAUGAAAUAAAGUUUCUUCCUGUAAUAUUCCCAUGCUUGAUUUUAAUGGACUGAAUCCCAAAGCAUCAUAGCUGUGUCUCCAAAGAGGAACUACUGAGAGAUGAAGUCAUGCUAGUCCGCAUGGAAGGUUGACAUGCAAGUCCUUCGGGUGGUUAUGAAGUCCUCCAGGCAGCUGUCAAAAUCAGGACUAUUGUUGAAGGAAAACAAACCUUAUAGUAUUCUUUCCAACUCUUUCUGUAAAUUUUAAUAAUUCUUCAAAUUUUUCAGUUUAGCAUUUUAUUAUUUGGGCACAUAUUUAUUUCAUUAUUUUUAACAUGUGCUUAUGUGUGUGUUUGUAUGUACACAUAUGCAUGUGAGUGCAGGUGAACAUGAAGGUCAGGAGUCACAUCCCCAUGGAACUGCAGAAGGGGGUCAGGAGCCAUCUGGUUUG